rnacentral:rRNA from 1 species
AUUGAACGCUGGCGGCAUGCCUUACACAUGCAAGUCGAACGGUAACAGGUCUUUCGGGAUGCUGACGAGUGGCGAACGGGUGAGUAAUACAUCGGAACGUGCCUAGUAGUGGGGGAUAACCACUCGAAAGAGUGGCUAAUACCGCAUGAGAUCUAUGGAUGAAAGCAGGGGACCUUCGGGCCUUGUGCUACUAGAGCGGCCGAUGGCAGAUUAGGUAGUUGGUGGGAGAAAAGCUUACCAAGCCUGCGAUCUGUAGCUGGUCUGAGAGGACGAUCAGCCACACUGGGACUGAGACACGGCCCAGACUCCUACGGGAGGCAGCAGUGGGGAAUUUUGGACAAUGGGGGAAACCCUGAUCCAGCAAUGCCGCGUGCAGGAUGAAGGCCUUCGGGUUGUAAACUGCUUUUGUACGGAACGAAAAGUCUUGGGUUAAUACCCUGGGAUCAUGACGGUACCGUAAGAAUAAGCACCGGCUAACUACGUGCCAGCAGCCGCCGUAACAC